AGGGAAACCGAGUCUUAACCGGGCGUUAAGUUGCAGGGUAUAGACCCGAAACCCGGUGAUCUAGCCAUGGGCAGGUUGAAGGUUGGGUAACACUAACUGGAGGACCGAACCGACUAAUGUUGAAAAAUUAGCGGAUGACCUGUGGCUGGGGGUGAAAGGCCAAUCAAACCGGGAGAUAGCUGGUUCUCCCCGAAAGCUAUUUAGGUAGCGCCUCGUGAAUUCAUCUCCGGGGGUAGAGCACUGUUUCGGCUAGGGGGCCAUCCCGGCUUACCAACCCGAUGCAAACUGCGAAUACCGGAGAAUGUUAUCACGGGAGACACACGGCGGGUGCUAACGUCCGUCGUGAAGAGGGAAACAACCCAGACCGCCAGCUAAGGUCCCAAAGUCAUAGUUAAGUGGGAAACGAUGUGGGAAGGCCCAGACAGCCAGGAUGUUGGCUUAGAAGCAGCCAUCAUUUAAAGAAAGCGUAAUAGCUCACUGGUCGAGUCGGCCUGCGCGGAAGAUGUAACGGGGCUAAACUAUGCACCGAAGCUGCGGCAGCGACACUAUGUGUUGUUGGGUAGGGGAGCGUUCUGUAAGCCUGUGAAGGUGUGUCGUGAGGCAUGCUGGAGGUAUCAGAAGUGCGAAUGCUGACAUAAGUAACGAUAAAGCGGGUGAAAAGCCCGCUCGCCGGAAGACCAAGGGUUCCUGUCCAACGUUAAUCGGGGCAGGGUGAGUCGACCCCUAAGGCGAGGCCGAAAGGCGUAGUCGAUGGGAAACGGGUUAAUAUUCCCGUACUUGGUGUUACUGCGAAGGGGGGACGGAGAAGGCUAUGUUGGCCGGGCGACGGUUGUCCCGGUUUAAGCGUGUAGGUGUGUGUUCCAGGUAAAUCCGGUUCACUUUAACACUGAGGCGUGACGACGAGGCACUACGGUGCUGAAGCAACAAAUGCCCUGCUUCCAGGAAAAGCCUCUAAGCAUCAGGUAACAUCAAAUCGUACCCCAAACCGACACAGGUGGUCAGGUAGAGAAUACCAAGGCGCUUGAGAGAACUCGGGUGAAGGAACUAGGCAAAAUGGUGCCGUAACUUCGGGAGAAGGCACGCUGACACGUAGGUGAAGUGAUUUACUCAUGGAGCUGAAGUCAGUCGAAGAUACCAGCUGGCUGCAACUGUUUAUUAAAAACACAGCACUGUGCAAACACGAAAGUGGACGUAUACGGUGUGACGCCUGCCCGGUGCCGGAAGGUUAAUUGAUGGGGUCAGCGCAAGCGAAGCUCCUGAUCGAAGCCCCGGUAAACGGCGGCCGUAACUAUAACGGUCCUAAGGUAGCGAAAUUCCUUGUCGGGUAAGUUCCGACCUGCACGAAUGGCGUAAUGAUGGCCAGGCUGUCUCCACCCGAGACUCAGUGAAAUUGAACUCGCUGUGAAGAUGCAGUGUACCCGCGGCAAGACGGAAAGACCCCGUGAACCUUUACUAUAGCUUGACACUGAACAUUGAGCCUUGAUGUGUAG
rnacentral:rRNA from 1 species